rnacentral:rRNA from 1 species
UACAGAGACUGCAGGCGUUGUCCGGAAUUACUGGGCGUAAAGAGCUCGUAGGUGGUUUGUCGCGUUGUUCGUGAAAACUCACAGCUCAACUGUGGGCGUGCGGGCGAUACGGGCAGACUAGAGUACUGCAGGGGAGACUGGAAUUCCUGGUGUAGCGGUGGAAUGCGCAGAUAUCCGGAGGAACACCGGUGGCGAAGGCGGGUCUCUGGGCCGUAACUGACGCUGAGGAGCGAAAGCGUGGGGAGCGAACAGG